GCAGCCUCCAGUUGACCCCUAAGGACACUUGAGUUUGCAGAUCCAUAAUGUGGCACCUUGUGGAUGAAGCAGGCCGACUUCGAGGACAUAAGUUGUAGGAGACAGAAGUGGCUGUGGCUUAUAAAAAGGAGAAGAGAUGCUUUCCAAGAUAAGCACAGAUACUGGUUACAGAAAAGAAGUUGCAGAGAGAGAAAGAGGAUGACAUGAAGGCAACGUAUUCACUCCAGAGUUGACUCACGAACUGUCGC